AUCUUUCACACAACAAUCUCUCUGGUGAAAUCCCGACCACGUUGCUCCAAAUGAUCAGUCUUUAUUCAUUUGAUUUUUCCUACAACGAGUUGACGGGUUCGGUUCCAAUUGCUGGUCCAUUCCAAAAUGCUUCCCAAGAAGCCUUUGCUGGAAACUCAGGAUUGUGUGCAAAUAUCAAAGGACUUUCUCCUUGUGGUUCAGUUUCAACUAGUAAGAGCUCGAGACAGCGUACCGUAAAGGUGGUUCUUGGUAUUACACUUCCUGUCUUUGGCGUAUUAGCAACUGCGGCUGCAAUUUUCACUUGUCGUCACCGAAGAAAUCAACUAGAUAAGGAAGCUGAAGGUAGAAAGUUCGAACAUUCUGAGUCAAUAUGGAACACAAUAGAAAGAAGGUUCAAAUUUGGAGACAUAGUAAAAGCAACAGAGGAUUUCAAUGAAAGGUACUGCAUUGGGAAAGGAGGAUCAGGCAGUGUUUACAUAGCAGAAUUGCCUACAUGUCAAGUAGUUGCAGUUAAAAAACUCAAUAUACCAGACUCCAUUGACGUUGAAGUCAUCAAUCGGCAAAGUUUUGAGAAUGAAAUCCUUAUGCUAACAGAAAUUAGGCAUCGAAACAUCAUCAAGCUAUACGGGUCUUGUUCUCAUAAAGGGCUAAUGUACUUGGUUUAUGAGUAUAUGGAAAGAGGAAGCUUAAAAAGUGCAUUGUAUGGAGAAGAAGGUGGAGUUGAGCUAGGCUGGGCUAAAAGGGUGAAAAUUGUGCAAGGAUUGGCUCACGCAGUUGCUUACCUGCAUCAUGAUUGUUCCCCACCUGUUAUACACCGAGACAUAUCUUUGAGUAAUGUUUUGUUGGAAGCUGGAUUGGAGCCAAAACUUUCAGAUUUCGGAACCGCGAGAUUGUUGGAUCCCAAUUCAUCCAAUUGGACGGCUGUUGUUGGGUCUUAUGGCUACAUGGCUCCAGGUUAACAAUAUAAUUUCUGCAUUCUUAUUUCACAUACUCUCUGAAUAACACUAUAUGAAGGCUUAAAGUUUUUUCUUUUUGUUUACCUGGAAUGUCUAGAGUUGGCACUCACCAUGCGGCUGACAAAUAAAUGCGAUGUUUAUAGCUUUGGAGUAGUGGCAUUAGAGGUAAUGAUGGGAAGACACCCAGGG
rnacentral:lncRNA from 1 species